AACGACUCUCGGCAACGGAUAUCUCGGCUCUCGCAUCGAUGAAGAACGUACCGAAAUGCGAUACUUGGUGUGAAUUGCAGAAUCCCGUGAACCAUCGAGUCUUUGAACGCAAGUUGCGCCCGAGGCCAUUAGGCCGAGGGCACGUCUGGCUGGGUGUCACACWACG
rnacentral:rRNA from 1 species